rnacentral:rRNA from 1 species
CCUACGGGAGGCAGCAGUGGGGAAUAUUGCACAAUGGGCGCAAGCCUGAUGCAGCCAUGCCGCGUGUAUGAAGAAGGCCUUCGGGUUGUAAAGUACUUUCAGUCGGGAGGAAGGUGUUAAGGUUAAUAACCUUAGCAAUUGACGUUAGCGACAGAAGAAGCACCGUCUAACUUCGUGCCAGCAGCCGCGGUAAUACGGAGGGUGCGAGCGUUAAUCGGAAUUACCGGGCGUAAAGGGCGCGCAGGCGGCUACUUCAGUUGGAUAUGAAAACCCCGGGCUUAACCUGUGAAUGUCAUUCAAGACUGGUUUGCUAGAGUCUUGUAGAGGGGGGUAGAAUUCCAUGUGUAGCGGUAAAAUGCGGAGCGAUGUGGAGGAAUACCGGUGCCGAAGACGGCCCCCUGGACAAAAGCUGCCGAGAAUGGGCGAAAGCGUGGGCAGCAAACAUGAUUAGAUACCAGGGUAGUC